UACGAAGGGGGCUAGCGUUGCUCGGAAUCACUGGGCGUAAAGCGCACGUAGGCGGAUUGCCAAGUCAGGGGUGAAAUCCUGGAGCUCAACUCCAGAACUGCCUUUGAUACUGGAGAGCUUGAGUCCGGAAGAGGUGAGUGGAACUCCGAGUGUAGAGGUGAAAUUCGUAGAUAUUCGGAAGAACACCAGUGGCGAAGGCGGCUCACUGGUCCGGUACUGACGCUGAGGUGCGAAAGCGUGGGGAGCAAACAGG
rnacentral:rRNA from 1 species